AAGACCUUGCGCUUUUGGAGCGGCCGAUGCCUGAUUAGCUUGUUGGUAAGGUAAAAGCUUACCAAGGCUUCGAUCAGUAGCUGGUCUGAGAGGACGACCAGCCACACUGGGACUGAGACACGGCCCAGACUCCUACGGGAGGCAGCAGUGGGGAAUUUUGGACAAUGGGCGCAAGCCUGAUCCAGCCAUGCCGCGUGAGUGAAGAAGGCCUUCGGGUUGUAAAGCUCUUUCAGCCGGGAAGAAAAGGUUGCGACUAAUAAUCGCAAUCCAUGACGGUACCGAAAGAAGAAGCACCGGCUAACUACGUGCCAGCAGCCGCGGUAAUACGUAGGGUGCGAGCGUUAAUCGGAAUUACUGGGCGUAAAGCGUGCGCAGGUGGUUUUGUAAGUCAGAUGUGAAAGCCCCGGGCUCAACCUGGGAACU
rnacentral:rRNA from 1 species